rnacentral:tRNA from 1 species
AAAAUCCGUCGACUUUAUAAGUUGUGAGGGUUCAAGUCC